UACCAAUUUUUGCAGUUAAAUCUCUACCCAGAGACUUCUGUGGCGGAGUUGAGUAGUCUUUGAUGGCCUGUUGAAAUGCAUGAAGCAUAGCAAUACAACGAGCAUUGCCUCCAUGUAAAUCUCCGGCCAUAUAUUGUAAACCAACCUUGUAAAUGGCAGGAUGAAUAGGGUCAAGUUGGAAAAACUUUGACACAAGAUCAGGAAGCUGAGUUCCCUGCUCGUAUUGUGGCAAAUGGCGAAAUAAUUCAACCCUAUUUCUAGCUUCAGUUUGGUUGAAAACUGCUCGCUUUUUAGCCUUUUCUACCCUGUUUUUAUCAUCAAACUGCAUUCGUGGAGGGG
rnacentral:misc_RNA from 1 species